CCCUUCGGUUCGGAAUAACACAGAGAAAUUUGUGCUAAUACCGGAUGAUGUCUUCGGACCAAAGAUUUAUCGCCGAAGGAUGAGCCCGCGUAGGAUUAGGUAGUUGGUGGGGUAAUGGCUCACCAAGCCGACGAUCCUUAGCUGGUCUGAGAGGAUGAUCAGCCACACUGGGACUGAGACACGGCCCAGACUCCUACGGGAGGCAGCAGUGGGGAAUAUUGGACAAUGGGCGAAAGCCUGAUCCAGCAAUGCCGCGUGAGUGAUGAAGGCCUUAGGGUUGUAAAGCUCUUUUACCAGGGAUGAUAAUGACAGUACCUGGAGAAUAAGCUCCGGCUAACUCCGUGCCAGCAGCCGCGGUAAUACGGAGGGAGCUAGCGUUGUUCGGAAUUACUGGGCGUAAAGCGCGCGUAGGCGGCUAUUCAAGUCGGGGGUGAAAGCCCGGGGCUCAACCCCGGAACUGCCCUCGAAACUAGGUAGCUAGAAUCU
rnacentral:rRNA from 1 species